rnacentral:rRNA from 1 species
UUAAACUGAAGAGUUUGAUCAUGGCUCAGAUUGAACGCUGGCGGCAGGCUUAACACAUGCAAGUCGAGCGGUAACAGAGAUAGCUUGCUAUCUGCUGACGAGCGGCGGACGGGUGAGUAACGCGUAGGAAACUACCCGGUAGUGGGGGACAACCGUUGGAAACGACGGCUAAUACCGCAUACGCUCUACGGAGGAAAGGGGGCUUCGGCUCUCGCUAUCGGAUGUGCCUGCGUGAGAUUAGCUAGUUGGUGGGGUAAAAGCCUACCAAGGCGACGAUCUCUAGCUGGUCUGAGAGGAUGAUCAGCCACACUGGGACUGAGACACGGCCCAGACUCCUACGGGAGGCAGCAGUGGGGAAUAUUGGACAAUGGGGGAAACC